GGAGGGUGCAAGCGUUAAUCGGGAAUUACUGGGGCGUAAAGCGCGCGUAGGCGGCUUGCCAAGUUGGAUGUGAAAGCCCCAGGGCUUAACCUGGGAACUGCAUUCAAAACUGGCAGGCUAGAGUACAGUAGAGGUGAGUGGAAUUUCCAGUGUAGCGGUGAAAUGCGUAGAUAUUGGAAGGAACAUCAGUGGCGAAGGCGACUCACUGGGCUGAUACUGACGCUGAGGUGCGAAAGCGUGGGGAGCAAACGGGAUUAGAGACCCCGGUAGUCCACGCUGUAAACGAUGAGAACUAGCUGUUGGGGUGGGAAGACACCUAAGUAGCGAAGCUAACGCAUUAAGUUCUCCGCCUGGGGAGCACGGUCGCAAGAUUA
rnacentral:rRNA from 1 species